rnacentral:rRNA from 2 species
AGAGUUUGAUCAUGGCUCAGAUUGAACGCUGGCGGCAGGCCUAACACAUGCAAGUCGAACGGUAACAGGAAGCAGCUUGCUGCUUCGCUGACGAGUGGCGGACGGGUGAGUAAUGUCUGGGAAGCUGCCUGAUGGAGGGGGAUAACUACUGGAAACGGUGGCUAAUACCGCAUAACGUCGCAAGACCAAAGAGGGGGACCUUCGGGCCUCUUGCCAUCAGAUGUGCCCAGAUGGGAUUAGCUAGUUGGUGAGGUAACGGCUCACCAAGGCGACGAUCCCUAGCUGGUCUGAGAGGAUGACCAGCCACACUGGAACUGAGACACGGUCCAGACUCCUACGGGAGGCAGCAGUGGGGAAUAUUGCACAAUGGGCGCAAGCCUGAUGCAGCCAUGCCGCGUGUAUGAAGAAGGCCUUAGGGUUGUAAAGUACUUUCAGCGGGGAGGAAGGUGUUGUGGUUAAUAACCGCAGCAAUUGACGUUACCCGCAGAAGAAGCACCGGCUAACUCCGUGCCAGCAGCCGCGGUAAUACGGAGGGUGCAAGCGUUAAUCGGAAUUACUGGGCGUAAAGCGCACGCAGGCGGUCUGUCAAGUCGGAUGUGAAAUCCCCGGGCUCAACCUGGGAACUGCAUUCGAAACUGGCAGGCUUGAGUCUUGUAGAGGGGGGUAGAAUUCCAGGUGUAGCGGUGAAAUGCGUAGAGAUCUGGAGGAAUACCGGUGGCGAAGGCGGCCCCCUGGACAAAGACUGACGCUCAGGUGCGAAAGCGUGGGGAGCAAACAGGAUUAGAUACCCUGGUAGUCCACGCCGUAAACGAUGUCUACUUGGAGGUUGUGCCCUUGAGGCGUGGCUUCCGGAGCUAACGCGUUAAGUAGACCGCCUGGGGAGUACGGCCGCAAGGUUAAAACUCAAAUGAAUUGACGGGGGCCCGCACAAGCGGUGGAGCAUGUGGUUUAAUUCGAUGCAACGCGAAGAACCUUACCUGGUCUUGACAUCCACAGAAGAAUCCAGAGAUGGAUUUGUGCCUUCGGGAACUGUGAGACAGGUGCUGCAUGGCUGUCGUCAGCUCGUGUUGUGAAAUGUUGGGUUAAGUCCCGCAACGAGCGCAACCCUUAUCCUUUGUUGCCAGCGGUCCGGCCGGGAACUCAAAGGAGACUGCCAGUGAUAAACUGGAGGAAGGUGGGGAUGACGUCAAGUCAUCAUGGCCCUUACGACCAGGGCUACACACGUGCUACAAUGGCGCAUACAAAGAGAAGCGACCUCGCGAGAGCAAGCGGACCUCAUAAAGUGCGUCGUAGUCCGGAUUGGAGUCUGCAACUCGACUCCAUGAAGUCGGAAUCGCUAGUAAUCGUGGAUCAGAAUGCCACGGUGAAUACGUUCCCGGGCCUUGUACACACCGCCCGUCACACCAUGGGAGUGGGUUGCAAAAGAAGUAGGUAGCUUAACCUUCGGGAGGGCGCUUACCACUUUGUGAUUCAUGACUGGGGUGAAGUCGUAACAAGGUAACCGUAGGGGAACCUGCGGUUGGAUCACCU